GUAAAUAGGUAAAUACGCAUGGGAGCACUGCAAAUGCACAAGUAGUUUUGUGCCAAUAAAAUGCAAAGGAUAAAAAUAAAAUACAAUACAGCGGCAAAAGUAUUUAUAUAAAUCAUGGAAAUGUAAGGAAAGGAAAAAAGAACCGGCUGCCCCAUGCACAUUUUGAACAAGGUAAUAGAAGGAGUAUAACUUUGCUGCUGCAGAAUGUAUUAGAAGCUGGGAAAUAACUUAACCUGACUGCAAACACGAGGCUUUUUGGGGCUGGUAUUAACACAGGUUUUCCUGCAAACACGCGAUGUGCAGGCAGGGACAGGUUGCAAGCAACAUGGUGAUUGUUUCUUAUUUGUCUCACUGUUUGCAAGGGAUGCUUGAUAGCGGUCCCACGUCCCAGCGUGAGAUGGCUGACACUGUUCUGGGGCACUGCCUUUCCCUGCUGGGUAGAGGAAGCGGCUGAGAAUGCUGGGUUUGGAUUUAGGUUCUCUGCCAGGAGAUGAGUAAAGACACUGCUGUAACAAAUCCUAUUUCCUAUGCAGAUGCUGCAAGAGAAGUCCUGCUGUUUGCUGUGCAUGGUGGCAGAAGUGCGUUGGCAUGGUUUUCAGCAGGGAAGGAACACCUCAGUGCAGGCUGACACCAAGAAGAACCUCGCUGUCCCCCACACCAGAUUACACCGUGUAAUGACACGGCAGCGAGGCGGUCAGGGGACGACCGGCCGCCUCCUCCGGGCCAGGCAGCGGGUCGGGAUGCACAAUAAGAAGAUAAAGCAACGAUCCUGCUGCGGUGAGAUGAAGUGCAGAGCUGUGACAAAGGUUUCCCACCAGCCCAACGUAGUUUUUGUCCCUCGGGAGAAAGGAUGA
rnacentral:lncRNA from 1 species